rnacentral:rRNA from 1 species
UCCCUCGAAGAUGACGAGGUUAAUAGGUUUGAGGUGGAAGCGUGGUGACACGUGGAGCUGACGAAUACUAAUCGAUCGAAGACUUAAUCAAUUU